UUCAGACUGUUCAGAUAAUAUCGUUAAUCGAACGAAGAGAGCCUGAUAUAUUAUAGUGGAAUUAUUAACAUAGAUGUACAUGCUUGCGAAAGUAUUCAAACACAAGCCAUGGAAAACUUUCGUGUAUACAGGAACGUAACGAAUAAAUAUAGAAAGAUGAAUUGUUUGUUAAGAAGAAAUUAUCAUGGUAGAGGAACGAACGUUUCAUUUCAUAAAUUAGUAGCAGGACGAAGUGCAUCUUCAUCGAAGUAUAAUUAACGAUAAAUAGGGAAAUGAACCGUUCUAUUCAGAAAAUUGGUGUCGUCCGCGUCCUCUAUGGUUGUCUGUUCGUUUAAGUCAGGGUCGUCAUAAGUAUUCAAAAUGAUUUCCCUCCGUUUGGCUGCACAUUGCGGCGUGUCUGACUAUGCUUGCUUGCACAUCCCACGGCAUAUUGACAUCGAAGGUGGCAACGGCAGCCUGGAUACUGGUGACGCGCCAUCAACGAGACCGCUGAAGAGGGUAUGCAGUUGACGCAUCCCUCGGUCCCCUAAAUCCUCGAAUAAAUCGUCCAGAAGUUAAAGGAAUUGUCUCAUCAGCGCGCGUGCGUACGUGCGUGCGUGUGUGCGCCAGUUGUGUUCGCUGGUUGCAUGCGAAGAGAGCGGGGAAGAGCCUGUAAAGAGUACGGACUUCGAAGAGAGAUGUUCCGACCGGACACGUGACAUGUGAGCCGUAUAACGAGCAGAGAACAAAAAUAUUUCCAGACAUACGCAGGGAUAGAAACGAUAGAGCACGCGCAAGAGAGAGAGAGAGAGAGAGAGAGAAGGAGAGCGGGAGGAAGAAAGGGGGAGGGAGAGGGAGGAAGCAGGACAAAAGGAGGAGGGAGACGGAAAAUAGUAAAGGAAGUACUUUUUCGCUGGAAAAGAAGCCAACUCGAAGAGCAAAUGAGAAAACGAAGCCUGAAGGGUAUUGCUUCUACGAGAACCGAAAUACGUUUAAAACACGAGCACAAAAAGAGGAGGAGGAUGAGUUAAAAGCUCGAGAACGAGCCUGACAGGAAGGGACAGCCUCAAAAGAAUUCUAAACUGAUAAAACUAGCUGGUAAAAAAAAAAAAAAAAUAAGGAAAUUUUAUAUGUAAAAUAAAUUGCUUUAAGUAG